CCUACGGGGGGCAGCAGUAGGGAAUGUUGCUCAAUGGGGGAAACCCUGAAGCAGCAACGCCGCGUGGAGGAUGAAGGUUUUCGGAUUGUAAACUCCUUUUGUUAGAGAAGAUAAUGACGGUAUCUAACGAAUAAGCAACGGCUAACUCCGUGCCAGCAGCCGCGGUAAAACGGAGGGUGCAAGCGUUACUCGGAAUCACUGGGCGUAAAGGGCGCGUAGGCGGGAUAGCAAGUCAGAUGUGAAAUCCUAUGGCUUAACCAUAGAACUGCAGUUGAAACUGUGAUUCUAGAGUAUGGGAGAGGAAGGUGGAAUGCGUGGUGUAGGGGUAAAAUCCGUAGAGAUCAAGAGGAAUACUCAUUGCGAAGGCGACCUUCUGGAACAUAACUGAUGCUGAUGCGCGAAAGCGUGGGGAGCAAACAGGAUUAGAUACCCGGGUAGUC
rnacentral:rRNA from 1 species